AUGCCAAUGGCACUGCCCGGUAGCUAAAUGCGGAAGAGAUAAGUGCUGAAAGCAUCUAAGCACGAAACUUGCCCCGAGAUGAGUUCUCCCUGACUCCCUGAGAGUCCUGAAGGAACGUUGAAGACGACGACGUUGAUAGGCCGGGUGUGUAAGCGCAGCGAUGCGUUGAGCUAACCGGUACUAAUGAACCGUGAGGCUUAACCUUACAACGCCGAAG
rnacentral:rRNA from 1 species